rnacentral:rRNA from 1 species
UCGGAUUAUUGGGCGUAAAGAGCUCGUAGGCGGUUUGUCACGUCUGCUGUGAAAAUCCAAGGCUCAACCUUGGACUUGCAGUGGGUACGGGCAGGCUAGAGUGCGGUAGGGGAGAUGGGAAUUCCUGGUGUAGCGGUGGAAUGCGCAGAUAUCAGGAGGAACACCAAUGGCGAAGGCACAUCUCUGGGCCGUAACUGACGCUGAGGAGCGAAAGCGUGGGGAGCGAACAGGAUUAGAUACCCUGGUAGUCCACGCCGUAAACGGUGGGUGCUAGCUGUGGGCCACAUUCCACGUGGUCCGUGACGAAGUUAACACAUUAAGCACCCCGCCUGGGGAGUACGGCCGCAAGGCUAAAACUCAAAGGAAUUGACGGGGGCCCGCACAAGCGGCGGAGCAUGCGGAUUAAUUCGAUGCAACGCGAAGAACCUUACCAAGGCUUGACAUAUAGAGGAAAAGUGCAGAAAUGCACUCCCCGCAAGGUCUCUAUACAGGUGGUGCAUGGUUGUCGUCAGCUCGUGUCGUGAGAUGUUGGGUUAAGUCCCGCAACGAGCGCAACCCUCGUCCUAUGUUGCCAGCACGUUAUGGUGGGAACUCAUGGGAUACUGCCGGGGUCAACUCGGAGGAAGGUGGGGAUGACGUCAAAUCAUCAUGCCCCUUAUGUCUUGGGCUUCACGCAUGCUACAAUGGCCGGUACAGAGGGCUGCAAUACCGCAAGGUGGAGCGAAUCCCAAAAAGCCGGUCUCAGUUCGGAUUGAGGUCUGCAACUCGACCUCAUGAAGUCGGAGUCGCUAGUAAUCGUAGAUCAGCAACGCUACGGUGAAUACGUUCCCGGGCCUUGUACACACCGCCCGUCAAGUCACGAAAGUCGCAUCACACCCGAAGCCGGUGGCCUAACCGCAAGGAGGGAGC